AAAAAAAGCCUGGUUCAAUGACGACAAACCCCCAAACCUCCUCCCAGCUCCCCCCGUCUCGCCGCGCUGCCUAACCCCUGCGUGGAAACAGGCGUUUUAGGGAGCCGGAGCAGGAAGUUGUUGUUCUCUGUCUUGCCCAGGUCAUCCUUCCAGGUGAUUCUGCAUUUCCUUCAGUAGCCUGGAUGUCUUGGCAUUAGUAGCCACGUCGCUUUGUUCGUGGACACUCUGAGGAGCAGAUCCCUGCCCUGUGGCACGGGGAGGAUCAGGCUCUGAUAAGGUGUUGGAAUGAUCGUCCUGCCGUUCCUUGAGUGGCUUUCCAGACAUGUGGAGAGAAGCAGACCCUUCCAGAGCGGAGCUGGGAAGGAGAGCAGAAAGAGGUGAAAUGGCUUUUCUUGCACAGAAAGGUAUUUGAUUUGCCUCCAUAUCCCCUUGGCUUGUUUGCAAACAGACAAUAGAGAGAGUGGCAGGGCCACGGUAGUCCCGGAGCCGGGGCUGCUCAGGCGGGCGCUGGGCGGGUGCUUCACGGUGCAAAUUUAAUUAUUUGGUCAAAAUCUAUGUUAGAGGUAGACAUUACCUGCACACCUUUCAUGAGCAGCUUAUGAACUGAACAUUGAGAGGGAAAACAGUAUUAAUAGAACAGUUUUAUAGAGUGUUACAGAAAAAGAAAUCUUCUUUCUUUAGAUUUUUGAGUUAACCUAUAGAAUCGAGUACAGAACAGGUAAAAAUAAGCCUGAAGGAUAUUUUUUACCUCUUAUUUUUAGUAUUUAGUGAAAUUACUCUGUGAAAUAUCAGUAGCGCCUGUCUUUUAUGAAAAAAAUUUUGCUUCAGGAGACAGUAAAUUAUAUACAAAUUUAUAAGGAAAAUACACAAACGUUUAGAAAAACCGUGACCUUUAUGGCCACCUCUAAUAAUGCGUUUAGGAAGGGUUAAUAAAAGAUAAGUCAUAUAACAAGCAGGUUACAGAUGCCUGCACUAUAGAUGACAGGAUCAGAUUCAUUAAUAAUGAUCCAGAUGUUUAGAAACAUCUGAUAGGACUCAACCCCGAAGUGAUGAGCAGCUAUUUAUAAAGAUACCUGCUAAUUGUUUAAUGAUAAAUGCGAUGACAAAGUUGAUGUGAAAUGCUCCCUAUGUCAUUAAAAGUGUGUGGAGUAAAAGCAUUGCUGAGAGACAGGGGCGGUUGCAGGAUUGAACUGUAAAUAUUUUUACUUCCAUUUCUCUUUCCCUCUUCACGGUACUUUUGAUUAACUAUUUCAAAGUGUGCUAUUUAAUAUUGACUUUAGGAUGGGGUGUUUGGGAAGAUGGUUGGCCUUGCUUUGCUGAGAGGUUUGCCUGGCCUGGGAGAAGUUACAAACAACUUGUCUUCAUGGCUAGUUUGGCAAAUGUCAUUUUUUAUUGCUUUCCCAUGGCACAGGGUGUGUCCAAGAUGGGUUUUUGGUCUGUUUUCUGCUUUUCUUGUGAGCGGGUUCCUCACUGCUGCCAGGAUAAGCAGCUCCAAUCGGCGCUGUGGGUCCCCACAAUGUUGGGGAAUUAUUGAAAACCUUCCACGCUUCUUUUGGCUUAUUUUGGGUUUGAUUUUUCAAUUUUUUUGGGUCUGUUUGGUUUUUAUUUUGCCAUCCCUGCCAGGUUGGGAGGACAUGAAGCCAAGGGAACAAAAUGGCCACACUCGGCCAUUUUGUGCCAGUGCCGCUGUUCCAGGGAGUCGGGGCCGGUUCUGCCCCAGCUCCAGGAGGCUGAAAAUCCUCUUGGAGAUUCAGGGUCCUGAUUUCCCACUGAGAAGCCCUCCCUGUCCCCGGCAUGUUUUGGCACUGACACGGGACCGCGGCUUCACAAAGGCUGAAAGCGGUGUCUGCUUUUAAAGCAGAGACUUUGUUGUUUUAUGGUUUCCUCCUCCCCCCUCCUCCAUUUCGUUCAGUGCUCCUUAAUAAACCAGAUCAGCUCCUCAAAGCUUCGGAGCCUUUCCAGCUCCUCUCCGAGGUGGGCUCCUUUUAAACGCAGAUACUUGGCUGUGCUCAGGAAUCUCUGGCGUGAAGAUGCUUCAAAAUUUGGGGGGCAUCAUCUUGGGUUUUCUGCUGGGGUCAUCACAAGCCACCCGGAGCCCUGUUAAAUGAGGAGCAGUUUAGGUCACCUCUUGAUCCCAAAAACAAGUCUGAAAGCUGGACUGGAAAUGCCAUUUUUAUUCCAGCCUGGAGGAUCUUGCUGUGAAAAAACAUACUCUGUAUCUGCCAAUUUUCCCCACACCUCCAAGCACCUGUAGACAAUGGGACCAUGUAGUGACACACUCUGCACAGGGACCUUCGUGCUUGCAGAAACCAAUCAAGUGUUUUUGUAAAAAUCAAAUCUGACCAAUUUUGAGGGAAUCCAUAUGAAUCUGGACAGUGAAAAUUACAGGGCCACUGCCUUAAGGCCUGCACAGAAAAUGCUGUUUUUCAAAGAGGUCCCGUUCUUGGCAAUCAAAUAUCCAGAAAUCUUCCAAAACUGGGUUUAAUCUCAGAAGGCAGUGAGAGGCUUUGGGUGUGGGCCUCUGACUCCUACAGACCCUGUUGGAUAUUUUAUCCAGAAUUUUGCAUAGCUACAUCACAUCCAGGCAAAUUUGGGCACAUGUCCUUCCUUCCUCAUCUUUUAUCUUGAUGGUUUAGACCUCGGGCCAUGAGGAGGGGGAAUUCCUGUCAUUGCAAUUUGUGUAGGACAAACAAGUGUGACAGCAAUACUAAGGAUAGGAUGCUCUUAGUCAUCCUUACUGGGCAUAAAAAAACCCCCCGUUUGAUCCAUAAAUCCUCCUGUUUGACUCCUUUCUUCACAGAUCCUGCUAAAAUCAGGAUUCCAGAGUCAGCAGCUGGGUAUUCCCAAUACCUUUACUCAUUAAGACAAUUAUUAUAAUUAAGUCUUCUGUUUUCAGGUUUACUUAUAGAAGUCAGAGGGGAUUUUUUUUCUCUCUCUCCAUGUAUAAUUACAUCUAUGUGAACUCAGAGUUAUUUAAUGUAAUUUCCCACCAACAGUUUGAGAUUGGCCCAAAUGCCUGUUGUCUGCAAUGGUAUCAAAAGUGACCUUUUGCAUGCCUGCCUGAUACAUCUGGUUUAUGUGCUUAAAGUAAUAUAAGCCACCAGAUAGGGAAUCAGGAAAAAUUGUUCCUCCAGGUCAGUUGCUAAAAGUCUCUUUGGAGAAGAUGAGCAUCCUCUGCCUCUAUGCAUCACUCAGGAAUCACCUGGACCACCCUCCCAGUCCCUGACUAGUGCAGCAUCCACUGGCUUUCUUGCCACCCUCCUGCUCGAUGCUUGUGGCAGCAGCUUAAUUUUUGGGAAGCUGAAACACUUUAGUCUAAACUAACCCUUCUGUCCCCAAGGAGCUGAGCAGUGACAGACCUGAUGGACCCUUGGGCCUGGCUGUAACCUCACUGAAGCUCUGGCUGGUGUUGCAUGUGCUGAGAAGGGAUGUGCAACCCCUGUGCAUCUCUUUCUAAGCUGAUAAAAAUGGCAUUUCCCAUCAGGAGGCUGUUUGGGAUGCACUUGGCACCGGGGAUAGGCCGGGCACUUCAAUGCUGUAGGAACCAGUCCCACCACGUUGGGUUUUUGACGUUGUUCAUACCCUGUCACACCAGGAGAGGCCUGGGCCAGAUGGUCCAGCACAGUGGGUCAUUCCCUGUGAAGGAUCAGUUUGUCAAAGGAAAUUAAGAGAAUUACCUGGACUGUGUUGAAUGCCAGUGAGGAGAGCCUGUGGAGAGCUCUGGAAAAGGGCACUUCCCAAACCUUGCUGCAAAGAUACUCUUGUACCCGAGGCCAUCCUAAACUCUUACAAGGAUUCCACUACAGCAGUUCACCAAAGCUUUGGGAAUAUUUAGGCUGUUGCCUGGUAGCUGCAGAAGCACAAAGCAUUAGGCAGCUUUUAUUCCUUUGGAGAUUUCUGCCUGAGCCCCCUCCUCUCCCACCACUGCACUCGGCAGACGCUUGCAGAGGUUGGGAACAUCUCCUGCUGAGCUCCCAUGGGAAGUUGUCCUUUGGGUCUGUGCUGGGCUGCACAUGCAGCCUGCUUGGCGUGGCUCCCUCGUCGUUAGGGCUUCCUUUAAUCUCCAAGGGGAAUUCUUUCUCCUUGCAAAAGAACCUCACACAUUUCUUUCAAACUAGCAGAUUAAUACCUCGCCUCUGUAUUUGGGUGUACAGAGAAUGAAGAAGCCUCAGAAGGUGAGCCAAGGGCUUGGGGGGAAGCCAGUCUGUCUCGGAUCCAUGCUAAUACUGCCUGGCUGGGCUGGAGCAUUAGAGGGACAGCACGGCUGCAUGUUGCACUCAUUUGUUUAGGAAAUAAGAUCUGCCUUGAUGUACUCGAUACCAUUACAUUUGCAGCCUAAAAGCUUCCUUGUACUCAGUUAUUUCUAAUCUGCUCAAUUCCCUGGAGUGCACAGCAGCUAAAUUGAUGGAUUCUCUUAUCUGGUCUGGCAGGUUUGUUCUAGAUACGCUGUGUGUUCAGGAGGUGAGGUCAGCCUGGCUGGGUGUGCUUGGCACUGCUGCAGCUUCCCGAGAGCUCUGCUAUCUCCAUGUGUAGCCCGAGGUUCCAAGAGCAGGGCUGCUGCUUCUCUGCACCCUUGGGUGCAUGAAGUCUGCAGCCAGUGUGAUUGCCAAGCACAAGGUAUAGUCCAAAUGGACUGAAGGAGGUUUGAAGAAGGAGAAAGAGCUGCGGGACAAGGUUGGAUAUGACUCCUCUCCCCUGACAUUACGAAUUCUGAUGAUUUUUCAUGCAUUUCUCUUCACAGGACCUGUGGAGCAGCCGAUGCUGGGAUAAGGCUCAUCCCAGUGCCUGGAUAAGGAUCAUCUCAGUGCCUUAGGCUGCCAUGGUCCCAAGCUGUCCUUGAGGCUGAGGUAGUAGAUUGAAUAGUUGUGGAGUCCGGUCCUCCCUCUGAGCUAACUAUACAAUCUACUGUCUUUCCUAAGGAGACAGUCAGGUCUUCAGGUCUCCUCAUCCACUUCUACACCAGAUGUGGGGGCAGGGGGUGCAAGUAAAGCAAAUCCAUGCCUGUGAUCCGUCUGUUGUGCUCUGUGGAGGUGAGGUAGUAGGUUGUAUAGUUUGGUGGGAGGGAUUUGAUCCCAUUUCAGGUGAUAACUAUACAGUCUAUUGCCUUCCUUAAAGAGCAGCAAAACCACCGGAGGAGCUCCUGAGGCUUCGCUUCCUUUGUUGAGGAUCCAAAAACGCAGCGAGGCAUUGUUAAACAACUCAGUGGGUGUUUCUCUUACAGCAUCCAGAAUUGCAUUCUUCCAGGAAUUGCUUCAUGCCUCAGGCACUGGAGCAUGGAGCCACCUGCUUCCAGAGAACCCACCUCUCUUUAAGGUGCGAGAGAACCAGGGAAAUGAGUCUGCAUAGCAGCUCCCAGUGUUCAAUCCUGGGGUUUUUUUGCAGGAGAUGGGCUCAAGCUGUAAAGUGUUUUAAGUGUGUUGAUCUUUUCUGGUCUGUCCUCAGGUCUGGAGGGGAGCAGAUACUUUUGUAUAAAUGGGACAGAUCUGAGCUCAUGAUUUGAUUUUCUUGUGCCCAGUUCUGAAGUUUGGGUUCAGAACCAGACCCAAGGGCAAGCUUAGCCUGUGGACCCAGAGCCCUGGGAGCUGAUCAGAUUUGGCUGGUUGGCCCCUGCUCAGGAAGCGCAUUUUGUUUUGGAUAAGUUCCCAGCCUGUCCCAUGGAACAGAGUUAGAGGGUGGUUCUUUCUAAUCUGAUAAUCCCUAUCAACUGAACUCCCUCACAUGCAAACCCAGGCGGGGAAGUUUAAGGCUCCUGGGUAUUUACAUAGGAUGAGCCAAUGAUUCAGACUGAAAGCUUGUCCUAAAGUGGAGACAGGUAGGGAAGAGCCAUGAGCCAAAAGGGAACAAGUUCUAAUCCUUCUGGGUUCUCCCAGGCACCGUCACCUGACAACAGACAUGCGAGAAGUCGUCACGCUUCAGAGCUCUGGCCCUUGGCAAGGGACAGGGAAUUGUUAAUUCUUCUCUUUCUUAGGAGCAGAUGGGGCUAUCCCUCUGCCAUUUUCCAAAGUAAGUAGGAUCAAGACCACGAGUGGAGCUGUAACAUGAUCAGGGCUGCAUCAGGAAGGACAUUUCAGGCCAUUAUCGUGACCAUCUCACUGCCAGGGAGACGCGUGAGAUCCGAGACACCAGGGAGCGAGGGCAAGCAGAGGACACCUUCUCAGAUGAAGUAGGAGGGAGAGAGCAAAGAGAAAUUGGAGCCCUCAAAUUUCACCCUGAGCAAAGGCACAGGGAGAGCGCGACCUGGCUGCUUGGGCCGUGGGAGUCCCCAGAAUGAAGCAGCUCAUUUCAGGCUCCUCUGCUGGGACAGGGCGUAGCUGCAGCGAGGCUGGGACACAGCUGGUGGGUGGGGAUGCUGCAGUUCCAAGCAGCGAAGGAAUGCAGCCCUCUCUCCAUAAAUCUGGCUUUUCAGCAGUCCUGGCGACUUGCUGUGCAAAACUACAGCUUGGUCCUCUGAGCUGCAUUAUCAUCCUCCAGCUGCUUGCUCAGGGGCAGGGCUCCCACCCGCAGAUUGCUUGGAAGGUACCAAAAUAGCACCACAAGCAUGGGAACAGGGCGGCACAUCCACUUCAUCUGGAGAGGUGUCCCCUGGAAAAGAGCUAAUCCCAUGUGUCCCAGAUGGAAUCCAUUCAGUCCCCCUGCAUGGCACCAAUACUCCUGCAGAGAAUCUCAAGCAGUGGAGCUGUGUGAGCUGGAAACCAUGAAUAAAAUAUGACUGGAGAUAUUCUCUUGUGAAAAUAAACUUGAUUUGACUUUUUCA